AUGGGUGCCAUUAUUGCUAAAUGGUUAAGCUUAAACUGUAUAAAUGGCCCCAUCUUUGGAGGUAUCUAUACUACACGCCUUGCUAAACAUUUCGAGAUACCUAUUAGGCAUGAUGAGAAAGAGGAGACACUGCUGCCUUGUACCUUUUUAGAUUACAGGAGCAUGGUAGCGCACGAAUUUAUUAUUGACAAUGAUGAUAAGAUGCUCCUGUAUAACCUGAGAUUUAAUAAGAAACACAAUGAGAUUAUUACCCUUCCUGCGCCUUUGUUGUUUGAUCUAACUGCAGGCCAGUACCUCGUCUUGCCAAAAGCCGUGUACACGCAUCGAGGCCAGACAUCCGCUCCAGAGCCUGAGUCGGAACCUCCACUGGACCCUUAUCGUCCAUCCUGUUAUCAGUGGGAUCCGGAGGAGAUCUCUAGCUAG
rnacentral:rRNA from 1 species